rnacentral:lncRNA from 1 species
AUGUUAAUGUUUUAUAGGCUUCUGCUCUGCCAUUCCUCCCUAACUUCACCUUGUCAUGCUAAUGCCCAAGGCAAGAGAAGUAGAGAUACCCUGCUGGAAAGAGCCCUCAGAAAUAUGAGGUGUUGCUUUUCACACGUGUCAUCCAGAUCUGCAGGGGAAAUGUUUCCAUAUUCAUCUUCAGAGACUGCUUCUUGGAAGGAAAGCAUACCCUCUGAUUUUAAGAAACAUGAUCAAUAUACUUCUCUUCAUGGUGUAGAAGAUAUCACAGCAAAUUAUGUGUCAUCGGGGGCUGAUUUCUAAGUUUACUGAGACCUCCUGGAAACUCCUAUAGUGAAUGGUGGUAAACGUCCAAGGAAAUCACAGAUAAGUGUGGCAGGGGAUAGCUCUUCUGUCAACCUCUCUGUCACGGCCCCAACACUUGCUCAUGUGGAAAUGUUCCUGGGACAGGGGUACGUCUUACAUGGCUACCUGUUUGUAAAACCACAUGCAAACACUACAGCUUCAUUAAUGAAAGAGGAAUAAUUGGGAGAUCACCUUGAGAUUUCAAAGUGAACAUCUGGUUUGGAACAUUUGUAAUUUUUUUUCUUUUUUUUUGGCUUCCAAGGAGAUCCUCACAUGGAAUAUCAAGUUGGGGUUAUAAUUGAGACCUUCCCUGCUGACAUUGUAACUGCCUUUCAUUGCUCGAGCACAAAUAAUUACUUAGAAAACAGCGGGUGGUCUGCUUAAAAAAUUCAAAUCAAUGAUCUAAGGUAUUUUUACACAUCCUUUGCUAUAGACUUUUCUUUCCAUCCUGGAUCAAGUGGCCACUCUUCAAAGAAUCCAUUAGCAUGGUGAACACUCCGAAAGCUGUUUUCUAUAGAUGCAUUCACCUUCAUUUCUCCUUUCUUUCUCUACUUGCUGAAGAUUGAUCUUGUGUCUUCCCUAAAGCCACCUACAUCUGAAGUAUAUGGAGCUCUAUGCUUUUAUUUAUACAGUUAUUUCAUCCAAAGAUCCAAUCAUGAACUUAGUGACUCGUUGUGUUUACCUGUUUUCAUCACAGGGAGACAGAGAAGAAAAGCUCAAAUGUUUGCUGAGAGACAAGCAGAAACUUAGAACUUAGUACAUCAAGUGGGAUUUAGAUGUAAUUCCAAAUUCCAGUUAUGUCUCAAAAUUGAUUUUUCUACUCAUUGUAGCUGAAUCUGUCUUUUUUAUUUUCUGUCCUGCCCUCUACAAAAGCCCACAAAUUUUUGUUAUAUGGAAAGCUACUAUUAUCAGAGUAAUAUCAUGGAUUAUACACAAGGGAAAACUUACCUUAAUGUAA